rnacentral:rRNA from 1 species
UACUGGGCGUAAAGCGCACGCAGGCGGUCUGUCAAGUCGGAUGUGAAAUCCCCGGGCUCAACCUGGGAACUGCAUUCGAAACUGGCAGGCUAGAGUCUUGUAGAGGGGGGUAGAAUUCCAGGUGUAGCGGUGAAAUGCGUAGAGAUCUGGAGGAAUACCGGUGGCGAAGGCGGCCCCCUGGACAAAGACUGACGCUCAGGUGCGAAAGCGUGGGGAGCAAACAGGAUUAGAUACCCUGGUAGUCCACGCCGUAAACGAUGUCGAUUUGGAGGUUGUGCCCUUGAGGCGUGGCUUCCGGAGCUAACGCGUUAAAUCGACCGCCUGGGGAGUACGGCCGCAAGGUUAAAACUCAAAUGAAUUGACGGGGGCCCGCACAAGCGGUGGAGCAUGUGGUUUAAUUCGAUGCAACGCGAAGAACCUUACCUGGUCUUGACAUCCACAGAACUUUCCAGAGAUGGAUUGGUGCCUUCGGGAACUGUGAGACAGGUGCUGCAUGGCUGUCGUCAGCUCGUGUUGUGAAAUGUUGGGUUAAGUCCCGCAACGAGCGCAACCCUUAUCCUUUGUUGCCAGCGGUUCGGCCGGGAACUCAAAGGAGACUGCCAGUGAUAAACUGGAGGAAGGUGGGGAUGACGUCAAGUCAUCAUGGCCCUUACGACCAGGGCUACACACGUGCUACAAUGGCAUAUACAAAGAGAAGCGACCUCGCGAGAGCAAGCGGACCUCAUAAAGUAUGUCGUAGUCCGGAUUGGAGUCUGCAACUCGACUCCAUGAAGUCGGAAUCGCUAGUAAUCGUAGAUCAGAAUGCUACGGUGAAUACGUUCCCGGGCCUUGUACACACCGCCCGUCACACCAUGGGAGUGGGUUGCAAAAGAAGUAGGUAGCUUAACCUUCGGGAGGGCGCUUACCACUUUGUGAUUCAUGACUGGGGUGAAGUCGUAACAAGGUAACCGUAGGGGAACCUGCGGUUG